rnacentral:tRNA from 1 species
GCCGUUUUAGCUCAGUUGGUAGAGCACUUGCUUCGUAAUCAAGAGGUCAACAGUUCGAUUCUGUUAAACGGCU